rnacentral:rRNA from 1 species
UACGUAGGGUGCGAGCGUUAAUCGGAAUUACUGGGCGUAAAGCGUGCGCAGGCGGUUGGCCGUGUCCGAUGUGAAAGCCCCGGGCUUAACCUGGGAAUGGCAUUGGAAACUGGCUGGCUGGAGUGUGGCAGAGGGGGGUGGAAUUCCACGUGUAGCAGUGAAAUGCGUAGAGAUGUGGAGGAAUACCGAUGGCGAAGGCAGCCCCCUGGGAUAACACUGACGCUCAUGCACGAAAGCGUGGGGAGCGAGCGGG